rnacentral:rRNA from 1 species
GAUGAACGCUGGCGGCGUGCCUAAUACAUGCAAGUCGAACGGAGACGUUAUAGCAAUAUGAUGUCUUAGUGGCGAACGGGUGAGUAACGCGUUGGUGACCUGCCCCGAAGAGGGGGAUAACAGCUCGAAAGAGCUGCUAAUACCCCAUGUGGUCGUAGAGGUUAGAGGCUUUAUGACUAAAGGAGCAAUCCGCUUCGGGAGGGGCCUGCGUCCCAUCAGCUAGUUGGUAGGGUAACGGCCUACCAAGGCGACGACGGGUAGGGGACCUUAGAGGGUGACCCCCCACAAUGGCACUGAAACACGGGCCAGACACCUACGGGUGGCAGCAGUAGGGAAUAUUGCACAAUGGGCGAAAGCCUGAUGCAGCAACGCCGCGUGCGCGAUGAAGGCCUUCGGGUCGUAAAGCGCUUUUUGGGGAGAUGAGGAAGGACAGUAUCCCCAGAAUAAGGUUCGGCUAACUACGUGCCAGCCGCCGCCGUAAAAC